rnacentral:lncRNA from 1 species
GGACCACCAGAGAAGUUUGCACUGUGAAGUGAUGGAUGCAUACAGACCACUCACUCUAGCGAUUGUCUUUUUGAAGGACAAUGGAGGGGAUUUUUAGGGACAUUCUUGCAACCAGAGAUCUCAUGGACAUUGGAGCAACUGACCAAACUCAAGUUGAAGAAUUACUCACCAGCAACAAGGAGUUUACAAUUUUCUUGAAGUUUAAUAAUAAUAUUCCCUUUUAUUACUUGCACCUGGGGUGGACAUCUCCCAAUGAUCUGGCCUUGGUAUGCCACUGCUUGGAGGCACAAAAGUCUUUCUUGUUAAAAAUACCCGUGAGUGUUAGUGAGGAUCUGAGCAAUGCAAAGGCUCAUGCCUGCAAGCUGAUGGGAAGACAGCUGGUGAACUCCUUCACAGAAUCUGGCAUUUCCUGGCAACAUUGCGCAGCUCCCUCUCUGGCCACAGCCUUUGAACUUGAGGCCAGGCAUGUCCAGAAGGUGCCAGCGUGUGCAUAUCUUAUGACCGACCCAUCCUUGUGGUGA